GAUGAACGCUGGCGGCGUGCCUAACACAUGCAAGUCGAGCGAACAGACGAGGAGCUUGCUCCUCUGACGUUAGCGGCGGACGGGUGAGUAACACGUGGAUAACCUACUUAUAAGACUGGGAUAACUUCGGGAAACCGGAGCUAAUACCGGAUAAUAUAUUGAACCGCAUGGUUCAAUAGUGAAAGACGGCUUUGCUGUCACUUAUAGAUGGAUCUGCGCCGCAUUAGCUAGUUGGUAAGGUCACGGCUUACCAAGGCGACGAUGCGUAUCCGACCUGAGAGGGUGAUCGGCCACACUGGAACGGAGACACGGUCCAUACUCCUACGGGAGGCAGCAGUAGGGAAUCGUCCGCAAUGGGCGAAAGCCUGACGGAGCAACGCCGCGUGAGUGAUGAAGGUCUUCGGAUCGUAAAACUCUGUUAUUAGGUAAGAACAAAUGUGGAAGUAACUAUGCACGGCGUGACGGUACCUAAUCAGAAAGCCACGGCUAACUACGUG
rnacentral:rRNA from 1 species